rnacentral:rRNA from 1 species
UUCGUAGGCGGUGCGGCAAGUUGGGAGUGAAAUCUCUGGGCUUAACUCAGAGGCUGCUUUCAAAACUGCCGUGCUCGAGUGCGGGAGAGGCCAGUGGAAUUGCAGGUGUAGCGGUGAAAUGCGUAGAUAUCUGCAGGAACACCCGUGGCGAAAGCGGCUCACUGGACCACAACUGACGCUGAGGCGCGAAAGCUAGGGGAGCAAACAGGAUUAGAUACCCUGGUAGUCCUAGCCCUAAACGAUGGAUGCUUGGUGUAGCGGGUACCCAAUCCCGCUGUGCCGGAGCUAACGCGUUAAGCAUCCCGCCUGGGGAGUACGGUCGCAAGGCUGAA